rnacentral:rRNA from 1 species
UGUGGUUUAAUUCGACGCAACGCGAAGAACCUUACCUACACUUGACAUCCUCGGAACUUUCUAGAGAUAGAUUGGUGCCUUCGGGAACCGAGUGACAGGUGCUGCAUGGCUGUCGUCAGCUCGUGUCGUGAGAUGUUGGGUUAAGUCCCGUAACGAGCGCAACCCUUAUCCUUAAUUGCCAGCGGUUAGGCCGGGAACUCUAAGGAGACUGCCGAUGACAAAUCGGAGGAAGGUGGGGACGACGUCAAGUCAUCAUGGCCCUUACGUGUAGGGCUACACACGUGCUACAAUGGCCGGUACAAACGGUUGCGAACCCGCGAGGGGAAGCUAAUCCGAGAAAGCCGGUCGUAGUCCGGAUUGGGGUCUGCAACUCGACCCCAUGAAGUCGGAAUCGCUAGUAAUCGUGAAUCAGAAUGUCACGGUGAAUACGUUCCCGGGC